UUAAUUGAAGCCAAAACAGCGGCUUAUCACUGUUAAUGAUAAAACUGGAUAGUAAUCCCAAUUAAA
rnacentral:tRNA from 1 species